CAAUCGCGUAUAUUAAAGUUGUUGCAGUUAAAAAGCUCGUAGUUGGAUUUCUGGUGGGAGCGAUCGGUCUGGCGCUUAGCGCGAGUACUUGCAUCGUCUCCGGCCAUCCUUGGGGAGAGUCUGUCUGGCAUUAGGUUGUCGGGCAGAGGAUCCUCAUCGUUUACUGUGAAAAAAUUAGAGUGUUCAAAGCAGGCUUAUGCCGUUGAAUAUAUUAGCAUGGAAUAAUAAGAUAGGACUUUGGUACUAUUUUGUUGGUUUGCGCACCAAAGUAAUGAUUAAUAGGGACAGUUGGGGGUAUUCGUAUUCCGUUGUCAGAGGUGAAAUUCUUGGAUUUACGGAAGACGAACUACUGCGAAAGCAUUUACCAAGGAUGUUUUCAUUAA
rnacentral:rRNA from 1 species